rnacentral:rRNA from 1 species
CAGCCGCCGCGGGAAUACGUAGGUGGCAAGCGUUGUCCGGAAUUAUUGGGCGUAAAGGGCUCGCAGGCGGUUUCUUAAGUCUGAUGUGAAAGCCCCCGGCUCAACCGGGGAGGGUCAUUGGAAACUGGGAAACUUAAGUGCAGAAGAGGAGAGUGGAAUUCCACGUGUAGCGGUGAAAUGCGUAGAGAUGUGGAGGAACGCCAGUGGCGAAGGCGACUCUCUGGUCUGUAACUGACGCUGAGGAGCGAAAGCGUGGGGAGCGAACAGGAUUAGAUACCCCUGUAGUCCCUGUCUCUUAUAC